ACCAUGGUGACAGGGAGGGAGCCCAGUGUCAGGGCAGCUGAACGAAAUAAAAAGCACAGAACUGGGGAAUUAUCAGAUAAUUGUGUAAUACAAAAAGGGACCAGACACGGAUGUCCACUUUCCCCACUGCUUUUUAUACUGGUUCUAGAAGUGCUUUGUAGAAGUAUCAGAGAAGAUGACAAAUUACAUGGUCCCAAAAUUGGGAAACAAGACUUCAAGUUGAGAGCCUUUGCAGACGAUGUUGUGCUCUUCUUAGAAAAUCCAAUGGACAAGAUUGAAAGGCUUUUGGAUAAAAUACAACAAUUUGGCCAAUUGGCUGGAUUUUAUAUAAAUAAGACUAAAACAAAAGUUUUGACUAAAAAUAUGGAUCAGAAAUCCAAGGACAGAUUCUCCGAAAUAAGUUUGGAUUUUCUUUUCCCACACAGCAAAAUCAACUGCUAGAUGUCCAAAAGGCUUUAGUCUAACCGUGUCAUAAACACCAUCAGUACUCUGAGAGAUCCUCAGCUCUUCCUCAGUAGCAUGUUGAGAGCCAUCCGACCUGAGGGGCCCAUCAUCUGGCACUACAUCAACAACCAUUCCAUUUUGUCUAUUCGUGUGGUUUUAUUGGUAAAAUACAGGAAUUAUUUACCA